GAGGCGUUUUGUGAAUUUUUUUGUGGCGCCGCCGCCAAGCUUUGCCCACAUUUUUCAGUUAAUCAGCCGGUCUUUUUGCUCCGAUUUGGCCAUGGAGGUGUUUAAAAUUGAAUUCUGAGCAAAGAAAUUUUUUUUUACCUCUUUUGGCGGUCUGAAAGGGCUCCGGCGCGGCGGCAGGUGGCGACGAUCUCUUUCCCGGCGGCAGGGCCUUCUUAUCCGGCGAGGGGGUCUACGGGCUAGGGUUAGGGUUUAGUGCGAAUGAGGGUUAUUUAUAUCCGCCCGCAUUUAAUCUGGAUCGUCUAUUGCGUUUAAUCUGGACCGUCCGAUCACGAUCAAAUAGGGAGAGAAUCUGGACCAUUUUUCGCAAUCUAAUUUGAGCUGUUCAUCGUGAUCC
rnacentral:lncRNA from 1 species